GAUGAACGCUGGCUACAGGCUUAACACAUGCAAGUCGAGGGGAAACGACGGGGAAGCUUGCUUCCCCGGGCGUCGACCGGCGCACGGGUGAGUAACGCGUAUCCAACCUGCCUCUGACUGAGGGAUAACCCGUCGAAAGUCGGCCUAAUACCUCAUGGCAUCGUCUGCGGGCAUCCAACGACGAUUAAAGAUUUCAUCGGCCAGGGAUGGGGAUGCGUCUGAUUAGCUUGUUGGCGGGGUAACGGCCCACCAAGGCUACGAUCAGUAGGGGUUCUGAGAGGAAGGUCCCCCACAUUGGAACUGAGACACGGUCCAAACUCCUACGGGAGGCAGCAGUGAGGAAUAUUGGUCAAUGGGCGGGAGCCUGAACCAGCCAAGUAGCGUGCAGGAUGACGGCCCUAUGGGUUGUAAACUGCUUUUAUGCGGGGAUAAAGUGAGGGACGUGUCCUUCAUUGCAGGUACCGCAUGAAUAAGGACCGGCUAAUUCCGUG
rnacentral:rRNA from 1 species